GCCUCUAAGUCAGAAUCCAUGCUAGAAAGCGACAACGUUCGCCCGACCACAAGCGUACGAAUAGGUCCUUCGUGACCCAAUACCGCAGCAUGGUGGCACAUCCCGACGGAGAACAGCCGAUCGGGAGCGUUCGCCAGAGCAAAACUCGAAGAUUGGGCGGCACAGAUCCUUUGCAGACGACUUAAUACGCAACGGGGUAUUGUAAGCAGUAGAG
rnacentral:rRNA from 1 species